UGCAUAGAAACACCGGCUGUCGUACGAUCACCAAAGUUAAGCAACGUCGAGCCUGGUAAGUAUCGAGAUGGGUGACCGUUUGGGAAUACCAGGUGCUGUAA
rnacentral:rRNA from 1 species